GAUGAACGCUGGCGGCGUGCUUAACACAUGCCAGUCGAACGGAAAGGCCACAGCUUGCUGUGGUACUCGAGUGGCGAACGGGUGAGUAACACGUGGGUGAUCUGCCCUGUACUUCGGGAUAAGCUUGGGGAACUGGGUCUAAUACCGGAUAGGAAUCACAUGUGGGUGUGUGGUUGGAAAGCUUUUGCGGUAUGGGAUGAGCUCGCGGCCUAUCAGCUUGUUGGUGGGGUAAUGGCCUACCAAGGCGUCGACGGGUAGCCGGCCUGAGAGGGUGUACGGCCACAUUGGGACUGAGAUACGGCCCAGACUCCUACGGGAGGCAGCAGUGGGGAAUAUUGCACAAUGGGCGCAAGCCUGAUGCAGCGACGCCGCGUGGGGGAUGACGGCCUUCGGGUUGUAAACUCCUUUCGUCAGGGACGAAGCGAAAGUGACGGUACCUGGAUAAGAAGCACCGGCUAACUACGUG
rnacentral:rRNA from 1 species